ensembl:lncRNA
AGGAGGCCGAGUGAGGAGCCACACACACGCACACGCACACGCACACACAGAUUUAACACUGUUCUCCGGUUUCAGCGCUGGUUCAGGCAGCAGUAGAACCUGCAGUGCACAUUCACCUGUGAAACGAUAAUUAUAGCUCCUCACCUGAGGAGCCUUGUCUCAGAAAGGCCUCAAACAGGUCGACCCAGCAUGACUCCCUGCAGCCACACCUGAUUCCUCAGCAGGGCGAGAUCAGCGGGGCGUCACCUGCACAGACGAGGACACCAGCAUGUAUAAAACCGGAGCUUGUCCAUCCAUAAACACGGUCUGAACACGACAGCAGCCAUGGCAGAUUUUGUAAAAAAUAUGUUGGGAAAUGACGGGAUGAGAGAUAUGGUUGCAUCGGAAACAGGUAAAGUGGUGGAGGGCUUCGUGAAGAAAGCAAUGGGUGGAGAAGGAGGAGACCAGAAGGAAGAGGGGGCAGGUGAUGUUGUAGGCACCUUGAUGAGCGCUGUGACUGGAGGAGGAGACAAGAAGGAAGAGGGGGCAGGUGAUGUUGUAGGCACCUUGAUGAGCGCUGUGACUGGAGGAGGAGACAAGAAGGAAGGGGAGGGAGGUGAUGUGGUAGGCACCUUGAUGAGCGCCGUGACUGGAGGAGGAGACAAGAAGGAAGGGGAGGGAGGGCUGGAUGUGUCGAAAGCUUUGGGAGGACUCUUUUAAGUAGAAACCCAACAGACCAGACUCUCUUUCAGCUUCAUCAAACCCUCAGCUCUUCCCAAACUACUGGAAAACAAUUACCUUCAUUAUUUACACUUGAUUUGUUGCACUUCCAUUUUAAAUGUUGCACCACAUUUGGGGUUGAGAAAAUAAACACAAAAAGCCACAAAAAAGUGAUAAAAACUGAUUAAAUCUGAAUAACACACAUAAACUGAUUUAUAAUCUGAUUUUUAAAAGGGUCACUAUCAGUAUUUUGUGUUAUUUUGCUAUCUUGAAUUAAAUAACUUAAAACAUGAGUGAAAAUGUUCUCCUGUGUUUUAUUUUGCUAAUGGUUUCUUGAAUAUUUUUUGCUCUAUUAUAUUCAGCUUAAACUGAGCCUCUGAUUUGGUGAAUUGAGAGGAAAACAAACUUAUUGUUGGGCUGCACAGUGGCGUGGUGGUUUGCACUCUCACCUUGCAGCUAGAAGAUCCUCGGUUCUGCAUGGAGCUUGCAUGUUCUCCCUGUGCAUGCGUGAGUUUGCUACGGCUACUCCAGCUUCCUUCCACUGUCCAAAAAUAUGCUGAGGUUAAUUUAUUAUUGUAAAUUGCCCGUGAUUGAAUGUGAGUGCAAUUGUUUGUCUGUAUAUGUAGCCCUGCAACCUGUCCAGGGUGUCUCCUGCCUUUGCCCCAAAUCAGCUGGGAUAGACUCCAGUCCCCCCUUAACUUACUGUACUUUCCCAGACGUGUUUGUAGUUUCAAUGAAUGUUUUGUAUGAAUCAACAGAUAAUAAAAACAACCGCCUCCAGUGUGAAACAUGAAUGUUCAUUUAGAUGAAUUAAAUUAAACAUAAUGGCAUGCAGAGAUGAACCUGAAGAGCAAUUAAAGGUA